ACAUCCGGGGUCUAGGCCUACUUGAUUAGCAUUGUGAUGAAGUAAGGGUCGAUCUCCUGGAUGCAUAUGGAUAUGCAUCAUCUUGCAAACACUAGGGCCUACAACACGACUUCUCCUUUCGCAGUAAUAUGACGCAUACCGUCCGCAAUUGCAACAAAAGAUUCUUGCUGGUAUGGUUUGCAAGGUGAAGGGUUACAUUUAGCUAGAUGCCACAAACCUUGUCCGCAAUUGCAGCCGAAGAUUUUUGGAUGAACCGCGAAAAUCAUCAGAUGAAGGCUUUCAGUUGUCCAGGCCAGGCCAGGUGACCAAUGACGAUGAUAGAGCGGGUUCGAUUCAAGCUAUACGCUUGGUGUAUUUGGUUAUCGUGACUAGCGACUGAGUUUUACCUCACGUCAAUAGCGCGGUGGCUGGGUCCCAGGCAUGCUUGCCACUUUGUUCCACGGUCCUCAUCUAAGUUUCGACGGUGAUGACAUGGACUUAGGUUCAAAGUACGUGUUCCCCUUGAGUCAUUGUGGUUGAUUGAUGGGGGCAAUAAACAGUUGCGUGUCGCUAGUCAUUCAAUUGGUCCCCUUGUUUUAGAGUGUUGGCGGGAUAAGUCUUACGACUGUUAGCAAUAGUAAGCAAUAGCUGGCCAGCGACCCCCUACCUGAUCUCGAGGGGGAUGGAAUGACUGGGGAAUAGGCCUGUUGUUAACCUGCGGAAUUUCGUCGGACGAAAUGUCAGGCGUGUCCGUGUGGGACUUGUGCUAAACCAGUUUAGUACAUAUGACGAAGACAUUGGGCUCUUUGAAUAACAACAGUGUCCUUGACCUCCUUGUGCCUCACAAAGCUAAUAAUAUACACCCCCUGAAAUCGACAAGACGGCGAUGAAGAAGGAGAGCCGGCCUCCAGCUUGUCAGCCGAGAAGACACUGGAUGGACCCCAAGGAUAUGUUGCUGCCAAUGUUGGAGCCAUACAGGGCAGCCCGAGCCAACAUUUACAAGGGCCACAAGGACAAGGGCCACAAGGACAAGGGACACAAGGACAAGGGACACAAGGACAAGGGACACAAAGACGAUGUUGCAGUCUACAGGCCCUCUGCAGAUUGAGAUGAUGGCUGUCGACCCAACCACUCAACCAAGAUCUACAAUUUGUGCUAUGGUAGAUGUGACUCUCAAAGAUUUUGGAUGAUGAAGGAAUCCAACGCAUAUAUGUCGCUCACAGAUACAGGUAGAAGACUGAGAGUUGAGUGGAUUCAGUGGGUCGAAGGGUUGCGCUGAGGGAUAUCCAUGUGCAGGAGUGACGAACCACAGUUCAGCAAACAAUGCCUUGACAGACCAAUUCAAGGAGAACCUUCGCUAAGAUCAGGAAGGGAACGUUUCUGUGUGGAUGGAUUGGACACUCAAAUGUCCGUCAUUCUAAUUAACUAUAAUGACAAUUCAACUCCGAAGGGACUCUCUGGACUUGGGGAAAGUUACGGACAUAGAGCCCUGACAUGAUAUCCUGCAGCCACCAUGAGGACAGCCUAUCUCAUACUUUCGGAAGGAUGCCAUCACAUGCAUGAUGAGCCAUCCCACAGAAGGGAGAAGGAUGUUGUUGACCCAGCACAUCCCAACCAUGCUCCCAUCGCCGUCAAGUAACAGUACGACGGUUAGAUUGUAUUUUGUCACCGUAGGCUUUAUCGUUUUAUCAAAAUAUCUGAUUGAAAGGUGAUUUAAUGAAAAUUCAAAUUUUUCUGAUGGUGAGAAGGCAAAUAUUUACCUUGCUUAUGACAAGCAUAGAUUAUUUUAAUCUGUGUUUGGUAAUGACCAUGACUUGUGCCAUGGUUCAAAAUCUUACACUUUUCAAAGAAAGAAUUGAAAUUAUGGGGGGGUUGGGUUGUUUCUGGUUAACAGGGGAGCCAAUGAUAAAGCACGCCAGAACCCAAACAAAAUAAUUUUCAAGCUAAAUUUUGUGCUUAAGAUAAGAAGGAAGUUUAAGGGGGAUGGGUUGUUUGUGGCUACCAGAGGAGCCAACAGCCGCCUUGGGCAUAUGAGGACCCUGAAAUUCUUUUCAGGCAAAAGAUAUUUUUCUGCUUUAAAAUCACCAAAUUCAUCAGAUAUUUAUUUAAUUACUGGUAUAUCCAUCACUUUAGACAUGGGGUCCAUGUGUUGUUGAUUCGCUGACCCCACGAAACAAGAACACAUGUGUCUGAUGGAACUGUAGGCCUUUUAUACUGUUUCUCAAUCUCAUCAGUACCACAGAAUCAACUGAUAUGGCCUGGGCCCGAUGCCCUGGACCUUGCAUCACACUGGCUGGCUCAAUUGCUCAAUACAUGUACCUUCAUGCUCGAGACAAAUGACCAACAGUGAUAUGUUGACUUUGAAUUUCCUCCUUCUUGAAAUACCAAAACAUCUUUCCAAUUGAACUAAAUAGUUAGAUAAACUCUGUUUUAUUGAAAAUUUAAAGACUGAUCCUUCCCCAGUGGUCAUACAAUGAGCCGUUGUCAAAGCGUGUCAUUCGACAAUGGUGGCAUGCAUGCAUGUUUUGUUACGGCUUACCAGGGACCCCAAAUUGUUGAUGAUGAUGUUGUCCAUGGGUACAUCUCCUUGGACAAUAAGUCAGCACAUGGUGCCUAUGCCAUCAUGACAAUCAUUUGAAAGAUUUAAAGUUGGCUUGAUUUAGAAAAGUGUAAUUUAAAGACGUCAACUUUUAGGCGUUUUAAAAUUUUUCGACUUGGUACUGAAUUGAUUGAGAAAAGUGCUAUUUGAAAACGUCAACUUUUAGACGUUUUAAACUGUUUGUCCCCUAUGAAUGUUUUUUGUAAAUCCUGUAUGUAAAUAGUUUGUAAAAUGUCUAUUUGAGAUCUAGACUCCAUGACUUGGCAAAAAGUAUGGCAAAGUCAACUUUUAAUCUUUGCCCUGUCAAGGUCACCUCUUUUGUCAUGCAAAUGACAUGUCAGAACUGCUCCUUUUGUCAUGCUGAUUGGCAGCCAGCUCUGUCAAGUAGCCAUGACAAAUGUGGUUCCUUUGUUAUUCAAAUUGGGUCCUGCAAAUCAACAGCAGUGACCAAACCUAUUGUAAGCUCACAUGGCUCACCUGAAGCUUCAUGUAUUAUAAACAUGAUGAAUGCAUGAAGAGGUUUAGUGCCAACUCAAACCAUUGUGGUGGAGUAGUUGAGUCUAUUGUGUUUGAUCUCAAUUUAGCAUUGUGUUGCAAGGACACUUAUCAGUGUUUCUUUGUGACAUCUUGUAAAGAAGUUUACCAAGUCUUAAAGGGAUAGUGCUACUGCCUAUCUCCUGGUUGUCUUCUUGUAUUGGGCUUUCGGAGUGGUGCAGUAAAAAAAAAUAUUGACCACGAUCAUUGUAUAAACUAUAAAGUACAAUGUGUUAAGUCAUUUCAAACCUAAGCGCCUGUCACCUGUGUGAUGGAGAUGGCGACUCCCUCCGAUUGCGUAGGUUUUCUCCCGGUAUGCGGGUUUCCUCCUACACUACAUUCCAUAUCGUCAUGUGUUUUCCUUGUAAUGUACAACAAUAAAGUUUUUU